GAGGGCAGUUAGCAAACACAGACCUACAUCAGCUUCUGCUCUUUGGCUGCUCACCUAAUCCUGCAGCCACAAGGGACUGGAGGAAUCCAGCAGCUCUGCAGCCAAGAACAUAGCAUUACCUUGAUCUCUGCAUAGGCUGCAAAUCUGGACUACAGUACCACUGCUGGGAUUGCCGUAGGCAUCAUCAAGAGAGGACAGAGUUGGCAAGUCAAAUGGAUCAGCGGAAGGAGGAAUGGGGAAGAUUCUUUUUUUUCCUGCUGCUACUGCAGAAGAUCUAGUAAAGGUAUAAUAACUGUAAAGUUGCCUCUUUUUCUGUCUCUGCGAGGCCUGGUGGCAGUAGACAGCCCGUAUGCGAUGAGGGAAUGCUUUGGCAUGUUUUACAGCACAGCCCCAACGUCCAGAACAGGAACGACUUGAGAAACUGCAAGUCACUUCUGGCGUGAGAGAAUUGGCCAUCGGCAAAGAUAUUGCCCAGGGUACGCCUGGAGGUUUUGAUAUUUUUACCAUCCUUGUGGGUGGCUUCUCUCAUGUCCCCACAUGGAGCUGGAGCUGAUAGAGGGAGCUCACCUGAGCUCUCCACGGGUUGGAUUUGAAUUGGGGUCAGCAACCCAACCUUCAAGUCAUCAGUCCUGCCAGCACAAGGGUUUAACCCACUGUGCCACUGGUCAGUUCAUUUAACCAUGUGUUUCUCUGAAAAAAUAGCACAUGGUCCACAUUCAUAAAUACCAUGAUGCACAAAUCUGCCUUAAUAAAAGUCCA